rnacentral:rRNA from 1 species
AUACGUAGGUGGCAAGCGUUGUCCGGAAUUAUUGGGCGUAAAGCGCGCGCAGGCGGUCCUUUAAGUCUGAUGUGAAAGCCCACGGCUCAACCGUGGAGGGUCAUUGGAAACUGGGGGACUUGAGUGCAGAAGAGGAAAGUGGAAUUCCAAGUGUAGCGGUGAAAUGCGUAGAGAUUUGGAGGAACACCAGUGGCGAAGGCGACUUUCUGGUCUGUAACUGACGCUGAGGCGCGAAAGCGUGGGGAGCAAACAGGAUUAGAUACCCUGGUAGUCCACGCCGUAAACGAUGAGUGCUAAGUGUUAGGGGGUUUCCGCCCCUUAGUGCUGCAGCUAACGCAUUAAGCACUCCGCCUGGGGAGUACGGUCGCAAGACUGAAACUCAAAUGAAUUGGCGGGG